rnacentral:rRNA from 1 species
CCGCGUGAGUGAAGAAGGGUUUCGGCUCGUAAAACUCUGUUGUUAAAGAAGAACAUAUCUUGAGAGUAACUGUUCAGGGAUUGACGGUAUUUAACCAGAAAGCCACGGCUAACUACGUGCCAGCAGCCGCGGUAAUACGUAGGUGGCAAGCGUUGUCCGGAUUUAUUGGGCGUAAAGCGAGCGCAGGCGGUUUUUUAAGUCUGAUGUGAAAGCCUUCGGCUUAACCGAAGAAGUGCAUCGGAAACUGGGAAACUUGAGUGCAGAAGAGGACAGUGGAACUCCAUGUGUAGCGGUGAAAUGCGUAGAUAUAUGGAAGAACACCAGUGGCGAAGGCGGCUGUCUGGUCUGUAACUGACGCUGAGGCUCGAAAGCAUGGGUAGCAAACAGGAUUAGAUACCCUGGUAGUCCAUGCCGUAAACGAUGAAUGCUAAGUGUUGGAGGGUUUCCGCCCUUCAGUGCUGCAGCUAACGCAUUAAGCAUUCCGCCUGGGGAGUACGGACCGCAAGGCUGAAACUCAA